rnacentral:rRNA from 1 species
CCCUUAGAUGUUCUGGACUGCACGCGCGCUACACUGCUAUCUUCAACGAGUUUCUUCCUGCCCCGAGAGGGAUGGGUAAUCUUCUGAAAAGAUAGCGUGAUGGGGAUAGAUCAUUGCAAUUAUUGAUCUUCAACGAGGAAUUCCUAGUAAGCGCAAGUCAUCAGCUUGUGCUGAUUACGUCCCUGCCCUUUGUACACACCGCCCGUCGCACCUACCGAUUGAAUGGUCCGGUGAAAUCUCGGGACGGCGGCUUGGUCGCUUGCGUCCGACUGCUGAAACUUGAUUAAACCAUAUCAUUUAGAGGAAGGUGAAGUCGUAACA